GAUGAACGCUGGCGGCGUGCCUAAUACAUGCAAGUCGAGCGAACAGAUGAGGAGCUUGCUCCUCUGACGUUAGCGGCGGACGGGUGAGUAACACGUGGAUAACCUACCUAUAAGACUGGGAUAACUUCGGGAAACCGGAGCUAAUACCGGAUAAUAUAUUGAACCGCAUGGUUCAAUAGUGAAAGACGGUUUUGCUGUCACUUAUAGAUGGAUCCGCGCCGCAUUAGCUAGUUGGUAAGGUAACGGCUUACCAAGGCAACGAUGCGUAGCCGACCUGAGAGGGGGAUCGGCCACACUGGAACUGAGACACGGUCCAGACUCCUACGGGAGGCAGCAGUAGGGAAUCUUCCGCAAUGGGCGAAAGCCUGACGGAGCAACGCCGCGUGAGUGAUGAAGGUCUUCGGAUCGUAAAACGCUGUUAUUAGGGAAGAACAAAUGUGUAAGUAACUAUGCACGUCUUGACGGUACCUAAGCAGAAAGCCACGGCUAACUACGU
rnacentral:rRNA from 1 species